UAGGGAAUCUUCCGCAAUGGACGCAAGUCUGACGGAUCAACGCCGCGUGAGUGAAGAAGGAUUUCGGUUCGUAAAACUCUGUUGUUAGAGAAGAACAGCGCAUAGAGUAACUGUUAUGCGUGUGACGGUAUCUAACCAGAAAGCCACGGCUAACUACGUGCCAGCAGCCGCGGUAAUACGUAGGUGGCAAGCGUUGUCCGGAUUUAUUGGGCGUAAAGCGAGCGCAGGCGGUCAAUUAAGUCUGAUGUGAAAGCCCCCGGCUCAACCGGGGAGGGUCAUUGGAAACUGGUUGACUUGAGUGCAGAAGAGGAGGGUGGAAUUCCAUGUGUAGCGGUGAAAUGCGUAGAUAUAUGGAGGAACACCAGUGGCGAAGGCGACUCUCUGGUCUGUAACUGACGCUGAGGUUCGAAAGCGUGGGUAGCAAACAGG
rnacentral:rRNA from 1 species